GACGAACGCUGGCGGCGUGCUUAACACAUGCAAGUCGAACGGAAAGGCCCUGCUUUUGUGGGGUGCUCGAGUGGCGAACGGGUGAGUAACACGUGAGUAACCUGCCCUUGACUUUGGGAUAACUUCAGGAAACUGGGGCUAAUACCGGAUAGGAGCUCCUGCUGCAUGGUGGGGGUUGGAAAGUUUCGGCGGUUGGGGAUGGACUCGCGGCUUAUCAGCUUGUUGGUGGGGUAGUGGCUUACCAAGGCUUUGACGGGUAGCCGGCCUGAGAGGGUGACCGGCCACAUGGGAACUGAGAUCCGGCCCGAACCCUACGGGAGGCAGCAGUGGGGAAUAUUGCACAACGGGCGGAAGCCUGAUGCAGCAACGCCGCGUGCGGGAUGACGGCCUUCGGGUUGUAAACCGCUUUCGCCUGUGACGAAGCGUGAGUGACGGUAAUGGGUAAAGAAGCACCGGCUAACUACGUG
rnacentral:rRNA from 1 species